AUUCGCCCUUUGCCAGCAGCCGCGGUAAUACGUAGGUGGCAAGCGUUGUCCGGAUUUACUGGGUUUAAAGGGUGCGUAGGCGGUUUCACAAGUCAGUCGUUAAAGGCAGCAGCUUAACUGUUGUGUGGCGAUUGAUACUGUGGGACUUGAAUUAUUGAGAGGUUGUUGGAAUGCGUAGUGUAGCGGUGAAAUGCUCAGAUAUUACGCGGAACGCCAAUUGCGAAGGCAUAUAACUAUCAAUAGAUURACGCUGAGGCACGAAAGUGUGGGUAGCGAACAGGAUUAGAUACCCUGGUAGUCC
rnacentral:rRNA from 1 species